UUAUAUUUCGAAUGUAUAAAUCAACAUAUAUAUAUAUUAUAUAAUCUAAGAGAACCAGACGGAUAUAAAAGCUCCGAUUUUAAUCGAUAUUGCUGCAGACGUCUUUUUCAUCUUCAGCAUCGCUCGAGUAUUCAAAGUUGAUAUCGUUUUAAAUCGUGAAAAAGGAAAAAAAUUUCGAAAAUGUUCAAAUUGUUGAUAUUCACUUUUUUGGUGAUCGUAUUGGUGGCAACUGUUAAUGCCAACUGUGCAGGAAACUGGUGUCAUCCGAGUGCAGGUUACAGCUGCUGUAAUCAUCAUAUUUGUUCAAACAUUAUGUCCCAAGGUAACUGCAUGCCUUCAUGGGGCGGCAAAUAAAUGGGACUUCCAUCUCCUAACAACAAUUUAGAGGCAAAUGUAUUAAUUCCUUAAUAAAUAAACUGACAUUUGCAUUGAAAAAAAAAA